CUGGGCUGGCUAUCAGCGAUAAACACAACUCCCGGACUUUAGCAGCAAACACACAGGACGGCGCUCUUGACAGUUAACUAACGGGACGGUGUCAAGUGACAGACUGUGUAGCUCACACAAAAUGGUGUUUACCCAGGAAGUGUAAAAUGGCGAAUGACCAGGACUGAAAUCCUUAGGAGUUUAGGUAACAAGAAGAGAGCUCCAACACCUAGCACAAAGAUUGAUGUUGAUUCUAGCCAGGCUGGAAUUAGAAUCCCAUAUGGCUCAGAUAAAAUGAGUACAACAAGCUCUGGGAUUCCUACAGUCUCACUUUGUGCAUUACACCACUGUCUUCAUACAGUUUUCCUCAAAGUGCAAAAGGAAUUGCACCUCAGUGGCAGAAUGUGUGCUUGGACUUUUAUCCACUGCAACUGGAGUGCGUCUGGAGGAUAGGAUGGACCUCCCUGAGGAACUCCACAGUUCAGUCAUCGAGGCUGUGUAUGAAUAGCUCCUCAGAAGAAUUAAGACCAGGAAGAAUGUGAAUCUGACCCAAGCAUUUAUGACUGGAGGUCUGGUGCAAGUCCUUAUCACUUGUUAAGCUAGUUCAAAGGAAAGAUCUGGCCCGGUUCCAGUACUGUCCCUCCACACACGGCUCCAGAUCUGCAAAGCGGACAGUAAGGACCACUGUAUCUAGUGCAGCAGAAGGUAGUGUUAAGACCAGGAAGACACCAUGGAUACAUCGCGUAAUGGGAAUGAUCUCAAAAUUGGUAGAAAGAAACCCAGGGCUGUCAAACAGAUAACAUGCAGGUGCAUGGAGGAACAAGACCAAACUCUUGAGUUCUGGUGUAUAUAAAAAUAGGACUCUUUCAUUCUUUAGAAGCAACGCAAAACACUAGCUUUUUAGAAAGCUGGAAUGUUAAAGACUGUUUCUGUUAUGAUGGUAUUUCUUGCUCUCUGUUUUUGUUCUACCCAGUUUUGUUCCACCCCACUUCUAGCCAGACUCCUUGAAUAAGACGUGUCAGAGCUCUUUCUUACAGAGGAUAAGCUCCAUGUUUAAAAAAAUAAAAAGUAAACACUUGA